rnacentral:rRNA from 1 species
GAAGUGUUCGGAUCGAGGCGACGGGGGCGGGUCGCCGCCCCCGACGUCGCGAGAAGUCCAUUGAACCUUAUCAUUUAGAGGAAGGAGAAGUCGUAACAAGGUUUCCGUAGGUGAACCUGCGGAAGGAUCAUUG